ACCAUCCUUUUCUUGGGGUUGCGCUACUGUCCAAUGAGCGUCUAGCGAGGACAGUACUGCUAACACCUGAACAACACACCCGCAUCUACUAGAGCUUUGCUCUACCACGGUGCAAUUUUUGGAAAA